rnacentral:rRNA from 1 species
GCAUAACGCGAAGAACCUUACCUACUCUUGACAUCCAGAGAACGUUUCCAGAGAUGGAUUGGUGCCUUCGGGAACUCUGAGACAGGUGCUGCAUGGCUGUCGUCAGCUCGUGUUGUGAAAUGUUCGGGUUAAGUCCCGCAACGAGCGCAACCCUUAUCCUUUGUUGCCAGCGGUUAGGCCGGGAACUCAAAGGAGACUGCCAGUGAUAAACUGGAGGAAGGUGGGGAUGACGUCAAGUCAUCAUGGCCCUUACGAGUAGGGCUACACACGUGCUACAAUGGCGCAUACAAAGAGAAGCGACCUCGCGAGAGCAAGCGGACCUCAUAAAGUGCGUCGUAGUCCGGAUUGGAGUCUGCAACUCGACUCCAUGAAGUCGGAAUCGCUAGUAAUCGUGGAUCAGAAUGCCACGGUGAAUACGUUCCCGGGUCUUGUACACACCG